CCGGCGACCGGCGCACGGGUGAGUAACACGUAUGCAACCUGGCCGUCACAGGGGGAUAACCGGUUGAAAUGCCGCCUAAUACCCCAUGACACCCUUUAGGGACAUCCCUGGGGGGUCAAAGGGAGCGAUCCCGGUGGUGGAUGGGCAUGCGGCGCAUUAGCUAGUCGGCGGGGUAACGGCCCACCGAGGCGACGAUGCGUAGGGGUUCUGAGAGGAAGGUCCCCCACAUUGGAACUGAGACACGGUCCAAACUCCUACGGGAGGCAGCAG
rnacentral:rRNA from 1 species